AGGCAGUGAUGUGAGAAAUAUUUGCUAUCUGAUGUUUGUGAUGGAUAGCAAUCUACCACCUAGAUCUCUGAGCAU